GCCCGCGUGGCGCAAUUGGUUAGCGCGUCAGACUUUUAAUCUGAAUGUUGCGAGUUCGAGUCUCGCCGUGGGCG
rfam:Podospora anserina genomic DNA, chromosome 1.